UAAAUAUCAAGAGUGAGGUUAGGGCUCUGGCCCAAUGAUCCUCCGGCAACCUAGCAAACGCAAAGGUGCCAACUCCAGCUCUUCAUUAAUAACAUGAAGGGGCAGAUAAGGU
rfam:Candidatus Falkowbacteria bacterium RIFOXYC2_FTLL_48_21 rifoxyc2_full_scaffold_4663, whole genome shotgun sequence.